rnacentral:rRNA from 1 species
CAGCCGCCGCGGUAAUACGUAGGGUGCGAGCGUUAAUCGGAUUUACUGGGCGUAAAGCGUGCGCAGGCGGCCCGUUAAGACAGGUGUGAAAUCCCUGGGCUCAACCUAGGAAUUGCGCUUGUGACUGGCGGGCUCGAGUACGGUAGAGGGGGGUGGAAUUCCUGGUGUAGCAGUGAAAUGCGUAGAAAUCAGGAGGAACACCGAUGGCGAAGGCAGCCCCCUGGGCCUGUACUGACGCUCAUGCACGAAAGCGUGGGGAGCAAACAGGAUUAGAUACCCUGGUAGUCCACGCCCUAAACGAUGGGUACUAGCCGUUUGGUGCGCGAAAGCGCUGAGUGGCGAAGCUAACGCGUGAAGUACCCCGCCUGGGGAGUACGGCCGCAAGGUUGAAACUUAAAGGAAUUGGCGGG